UUUCAAGCAUUUUUUUUCUUCUUCGAUUUACAUAUCCGUAUUGAUUUGAGGUGAAUAUAUUUAGAAGCUACGAAUUCAAUUUUAAUCAUCAAUUACUCUACCGAUUUGAUUCAAACAAUCGAAUUCGAAUCCAGUUUUCAUUUGUUCAAAACUACUUCAGUUUGCAGGUGACAAGUGAGCUUCGUUGCCUUCCACACCAAUUUUUUUAUCGAUUCAGAGUUUAGAUUAGCCUAACCUAUUCGUGUUUGUUGGUCACUGACCCUGCAUAUGAAACUGUUUUGUGUGCGGAUUUGACUUACAUUUUAUCAGACUGUGCAUGCCAUUUUUUUCGGUUCAUCAGAUUUUUAAUGAGGUUAGUUAAAUCUGAAAGAAAAAUUGAAUUGUGGGUCGGAUUUCUUGUAGUCAUCUUUUAUUGCCGUUAAAAUGUGGGUUUCCACCAUGUCUUUUAUUGGAGACGGGUCAUAUGAACAGGUUCUCUAUGAAAUGUUACUUACUAUCAGCUGCUGCAGUAAAAAAGCUAGUCGGUACAUCACAAGAACCAGUUUCUGAUUUUGCAUCUCAGAGUUUAACUGGUAUUUAAAGGAUUUCAAAAGCCAAAGUCGAUAAAAUCUGUGAAGCAGCCGAGAAAAUAGUUAUUUGCUUGUUGUUAUAUUUCAGAUUUCAGAUAAGUUCAUAAACGCUAAUUGCUUAAAUGUGGUAAUGGUCUCGCUGGAAUUGGAGUUGACGCUGA